AAACUAAAUCGCGAGAAAUCAUUAGGGGUGCGCUAUCUUAAUUAGAGAUAGUAUUAUGUGAUAAGUUUCGAAGUACAUGUAGUUACGUUCAUGAGAUAUCGCGAAAGCGUUUAGCAUAUUGCAGUUAAGAAUUUAGGAUUUGACCAAAACAGAAAAAAGAACGAAAGAUGUUUCUCCAAAAAGGCAUUGCAGUUAUGCUGGCUUUCCUGAGCAUAUAUCCGAUUGGAGCAGGAGGGCUGGAUGUCUGUUAUUGGACUUGCUUGCCAAUAGUCGGGGUGGGUGGCGUGGCAGGUCUGACCUAUUUGGGAUUCACUGCUACCGGAAUUGCUGCAGGCUCCUGGGCGGCUUGGUGGAUGGCAUCCUUUGCAGGCGCAGUACCGAAAGCUAGCUGGUUUGCAUUUUUUCAGUCAUUUGGUGCAAAAGGAACGGCAUAUUACACAGCCCCAGCAAUAUGUGCAUACUUGUGCAGCUAAUGUGUGAGCGGCUUUACAGAUGUGACGGAUAAUGUGUUCGGAACGAUGAAAUUUAUAACUGAAUGGACUUUUUUAUUUGAAAUUUUACUGUAUUGAAAACAUGUGUAUUGGCAAUAGUGAUGAAGACCAAAAAAUCAUCCUCGGAGAAAAACAUGUUAUUACUGUGGUUUGCAUUCUAAUUUAAAACUUUUAUUUCAUUAAAAUAAUAUAAAUUGCAAUUGAAAAUAAUACAAAAGUACAUAUUUAACUUCCUGUUUGAUUAUUUCAUUCUAUGACUGAUUUGUACACGUAGUUUUAAGUGAUUUUAUAAUUGCUUUACUGAUAUCAACUAUGACUUUAAUUUUGAAUGAAGUUUUUUGUGUGUGCGUUUCAUUCGGUGCCCUGUGCUGUUUCAAUCUAUGUGGUAAUUGGUCAUUGGUAAGUGAUUUUGCGAAACUUGAUGAUUGGACGGCACUGGGAUGCACGAUAUGUAAACAAAUUGUGUCCACAUGUGUCAUUUCUUAAGUGUAUGAUUUUGCGCUGUGCACGAUGUGUAGUUACUACGGUCAACAUAGUUGCAAACAUAUUCGAAGCGUUGCACCUCUACCUUUGGAAAUCAGCAGCCUACAAAUCAUAAAGACAUAACGUUUUGUGUACAAGAUCGAUUAAACAACUGUUUUAUAAUAAAACAAACAUAUUUUGACUCUCUGGAAAUUACACCAUUCUACCACAGACUAAGACUUAGCAUAUGCCUAUUUUCCAUAAAAAGCAUGCAUACAUACGAUUCUUGGUUUAGACGAAUGUAUUUAAAAUAAAAGAAGCUUGUUAACCUUUAAAUGCUGUAACUUGUGUCGAUUAAAGUACCAUAAAUACUCAAAAUCAACGAAUAUUUACAAAAUAUUUCGUAAAAUAAAGUUAACCUUUCAAAAAUCAUUGUUCACAAUAGCAAUAGCCAUAAUUUCAACGCUAGAUGUGGGAUGGUAACAUAGAUUUAACGAGAUACAAGAUGCUCGUUUUUAUUUUAUGUGGCACAAUAUAUUCGAUUAUAUAUUUUGUGCAACGAUAUGUAUUCAUACGACACACGAAAACUAACAUGGUACAUAAACAUGUGUUGGAUAUAUUAUCCCACAAAAAAGAGCAUUUUGGAUCGUAAUAAAUCUAUGUAACCAGACCACAUCUAGCGUUGAAAUGUUGGCAAUUGCUAUAAAACAUUGAUUUGUUAUGUGUUAACUUUAUUUUUCGAAAUAUAGUACGAAAUAUGCAAUGAUCAUUUUGAUUGUAGAUGGGGUUUAAAGGAGAUUUAAACAUUGAAACUUCUAGUAUGGCUUUAAAAGACAACUUAAACCAAACUUGAUAUGUUUGUAAAUGUAUUACGCCAAUUACGGGUUGCUAUAUGUGACGUGUGUAUGUCGCCAUGCAUUACAUGUUCUUAAAUAUGUAUGUACUGAAUUUAUUAAUACCAAUUAUGCUUCGACUAGCGGCUAAGCCUAAGAAGAAGGUGGUUAACAUAUAAAUAUGCUCGAAAAUUACUUAUAUAUACCGUAUGUAUUUUUGUUGUAUGUGUUAGUCGCAUGAAUACAUAAUAAAUAUGUAAGAUGUAA